GUUUAGACACUAAGUGCUGUUAACAUAUAUCACUAUUUACUCCUUGAACUCGUCCUAUUUGUUAUUAUAUACACACCAUAUACUGUAUUAUUAUUAUUGUCUCAGCUUCACCGAUAAGGAACCCUAGCUUGGUGAGUUCUGAAUUGCUGGCAGAUUAGGGAGGAAUGGACAGUGGAACCCAGCCCUGGCUGUGCCCAGACCCCCUCUCCUCUGCAACACUGUCUGCCUCUGAGGCGCGUGGAGUCCUUCUCCAGCUCUUCAAAGCGUUGCAGGUCCAUGUUGUCCCAACAGAAUUUAAAGGUGCAGGCCAGCAUCACCUGCAAAGUCCCAGGUUGGAAGAGAACCUCGUCUACACUUCUACAGGCAGAUAAGGUCAGAAGUACAUUUUCCAGUCAAACAAGAAAUGUAUAUUUUGUCCUAUUUUUUAAAAUAUUGGCAACCAAG
rnacentral:lncRNA from 1 species